rnacentral:rRNA from 1 species
GACGAACGCUGGCGGCGUGCCUAAUACAUGCAAGUCGAACGCAGUGGGGACGGGUGAGUAAAACGUGGGUAACCUCCCAUCAGAGGGGAUAACACUUGGAAACAGGUGCUAAACCGAUACUGAUGGAUGGACCCGGGGUGGAUUAGCUAGUUGGUGAGGUAACGGCUCACCAAGGCCACGAUGCAUAGCGGAUCUGAGAGGGUGACCAGCCACACUGGAACUGAGACACGGCCCAGACUCCUACGGGAGGCAGCAGUAGGGAAUCUUCGGCAAUGGACGCAAGUCUGACCGAGCAAUGCCGCGUGAGUGAAGAAGGUUUUCGGAUCGUAAAACUCUGUUGUCAGAGAAGCGGUAUCUAACCAGAAAGCCACGGCUAACUACGUGCCAGCAGCCGCGGUAAUAC